UACGGGGGGGGGCAAGCGUUGUUCGGAAUUACUGGGCGUAAAGGGCUCGUAGGCGGCCAUCUAAGUCGGACGUGAAAUCCCUCGGCUUAACCGGGGAACUGCGUCCGAUACUGGAGGGCUUGAGUGUGGGAGAGGGAUGCGGAAUUCCAGGUGUAGCGGUGAAAUGCGUAGAUAUCUGGAGGAACACCGGUGGCGAAGGCGGCAUCCUGGAC
rnacentral:rRNA from 1 species